UACGUAGGUGGCAAGCGUUGUCCGGAUUUACUGGGCGUAAAGAGCGCGCAGGCGGCUGGUCAAGUCCGAUGUGAAAUCUCCCGGCUUAACUGGGAAACUGCAUCGGAAACUGAUCGGCUUGAAGGUGGGAGAGGGUAGUGGAAUUCCCGGUGUAGGAGUGAAAUCCGUAGAUAUCUGGAGGAAUACCGGAGGCGAAGGCGGCCAACUGGGAAUGCAUUGACACUGAGGUGCGAAAGCGUGGGGAGCAAACAGG
rnacentral:rRNA from 1 species